UACGUAGGGGGCAAGCGUUGUCCGGAUUUAUUGGGCGUAAAGAGCGUGUAGGCGGUUUGGUAGGUCCGCUGUGAAAACUCGAGGCUCAACCUCGAGAGGUCGGUGGAAACCGUCUGGCUAGAGUCCGGAAGAGGAGAGUGGAAUUCCCGGUGUAGCGGUGAAAUGCGCAGAUAUCGGGAAGAACACCCGUGGCGAAGGCGGCUCUCUGGGACGGUACUGACGCUGAGACGCGAAAGCGUGGGGAGCAAACAGG
rnacentral:rRNA from 1 species